GGUUCGAUACGUCGGAUGUGAAAAUCAGGGGCUCAACCCCUGACCUGCAUCCGAUACGGUCGAGCUGGAGUUUGGUAGGGGAGACUGGAAUUCCUGGUGUAGCGGUGGAAUGCGCAGAUAUCAGGAGGAACACCGAUGGCGAAGGCAGGUCUCUGGGCCAAUACUGACACUGAGGAGCGAAAGCGUGGGGAGCGAACAGGAUUAGAUACCCUGGUAGUCCACGCCGUAAACGGUGGGCGCUAGUUGUGCGAACCUUCCACGGUUUGUGCGACGCAGCUAACGCAUUAAGCGCCCCGCCUGGGGAGUACGAUCGCAAGAUUAAAACUCAAAGGAAUUGACGGGGCCCCGCACAAGCAGCGGAGCAUGCGGCUUAAUUCGACGCAACGCGAAGAACCUUACCAAGGCUUGACAUAUACAGGAAUACGGCAGAGAUGUCGUAGCCGCAAGGUCUGUAUACAGGUGGUGCAUGGUUGUCGUCAGCUCGUGUCGUGAGAUGUUGGGUUAAGUCCCGCAACGAGCGCAACCCUCGUUCUGUGUUGCCAGCAUUUAGUUGGGGACUCACAGGAGACUGCCGGGGUUAACUCGGAGGAAGGUGGGGAUGACGUCAAAUCAUCAUGCCCCUUAUGUCUUGGGCUGCACGCAUGCUACAAUGGCUGGUACAAACGGCUGCAAUACCGCAAGGUGGAGCGAAUCCGAGAAAGCCAGUCUCAGUUCGGAUUGGGGUCUGCAACUCGACCCCAUGAAGUCGGAGUUGCUAGUAA
rnacentral:rRNA from 1 species